rnacentral:rRNA from 1 species
GAUGAACGCUGGUGGCGUGCCUAACACAUGCAAGUCGAGCGAUUCUCUUCGGAGAAGAGCGGCGGACGGGUGAGUAACGCGUGGGUAACCUGCCCUGUACACACGGAUAACAUACCGAAAGGUAUGCUAAUACGAGAUAACAUGCUUUUAUCGCAUGGUAGAAGUAUCAAAGCUUUUACGGUACAGGAUGGACCCGCGUCUGAUUAGCUAGUUGGUGAGGUAACGGCUCACCAAGGCGACGAUCAGUAGCCGACCUGAGAGGGUGAUCGGCCACAUUGGAACUGAGACACGGUCCAAACUCCUACGGGAGGCAGCAGUGGGGAAUAUUGCACAAUGGGCGAAAGCCUGAUGCAGCAACGCCGCGUGAGCGAUGAAGGCCUUCGGGUCGUAAAGCUCUGUCCUCAAGGAAGAUAAUGACGGUACUUGAGGAGGAAGCCCCGGCUAACUACGUG